UAGGAGACUUUCAAAACAUUUGCUUCC
rnacentral:piRNA from 1 species